AGACCCGAAACCCGGUGAUCUAGCCAUGGGCAGGUUGAAGGUUGGGUAACACUAACUGGAGGACCGAACCGACUAAUGUUGAAAAAUUAGCGGAUGACCUGUGGCUGGGGGUGAAAGGCCAAUCAAACCGGGAGAUAGCUGGUUCUCCCCGAAAGCUAUUUAGGUAGCGCCUCGUGAAUUCAUCUCCGGGGGUAGAGCACUGUUUCGGCUAGGGGGCCAUCCCGGCUUACCAACCCGAUGCAAACUGCGAAUACCGGAGAAUGUUAUCACGGGAGACACACGGCGGGUGCUAACGUCCGUCGUGAAGAGGGAAACAACCCAGACCGCCAGCUAAGGUCCCAAAGUCAUGGUUAAGUGGGAAACGAUGUGGGAAGGCCCAGACAGCCAGGAUGUUGGCUUAGAAGCAGCCAUCAUUUAAAGAAAGCGUAAUAGCUCACUGGUCGAGUCGGCCUGCGCGGAAGAUGUAACGGGGCUAAACCAUGCACCGAAGCUGCGGCAGCGACACUCAGGUGUUGUUGGGUAGGGGAGCGUUCUGUAAGCCUGCGAAGGUGGCCUGUGAGGGUUGCUGGAGGUAUCAGAAGUGCGAAUGCUGACAUAAGUAACGAUAAAGCGGGUGAAAAGCCCGCUCGCCGGAAGACCAAGGGUUCCUGUCCAACGUUAAUCGGGGCAGGGUGAGUCGACCCCUAAGGCGAGGCCGAAAGGCGUAGUCGAUGGGAAACGGGUUAAUAUUCCCGUACUUGGUGUUACUGCGAAGGGGGGACGGAGAAGGCUAUGUUGGCCGGGCGACGGUUGUCCCGGUUUAAGCGUGUAGGUGUGUGUUCCAGGUAAAUCCGGUUCACUUUAAC
rnacentral:rRNA from 2 species